AGUGAACGCUGGCGGUAGGCCUAACACAUGCAAGUCGAACGGCAGCACAGGAGAGCUUGCUCUCUGGGUGGCGAGUGGCGGACGGGUGAGGAAUACAUCGGAAUCUACUCUGUCGUGGGGGAUAACGUAGGGAAACCUACGCUAAUACCGCAUACGACCUACGGGUGAAAGCAGGGGACCUUCGGGCCUUGCGCGAUUGAAUGAGCCGAUGUCGCGAUUAGCUAGUUGGCGGGGUAAAGGCCCACCAAGGCGACGAUCCGUAGCUGGUCUGAGAGGAUGAUCAGCCACACUGGAACUGAGACACGGUCCAGACUCCUACGGGAGGCAGCAGUGGGGAAUAUUGGACAAUGGGCGCAAGCCUGAUCCAGCCAUACCGCGUGGGUGAAGAAGGCCUUCGGGUUGUAAAGCCCUUUUGUUGUGAAAGAAAUCCAGCUGGCUAAUACCCGGUUGGGAUGACGGUACCCAAAGAAUAAGCACCGGCUAACUUCGUGCCAGCCGCCGCCGUAA
rnacentral:rRNA from 1 species